rnacentral:rRNA from 1 species
GUUUACGGUCAUAAUACCCUGAACGUGCCCAAUCUGGUCUGAUCUCGGAAGCUAAGCAGGGUCAGACCUGGUUAGUACUUGGAUGGGAAAUAUUUAAAGCAUGCUACAAUAUUUA